rnacentral:rRNA from 1 species
GACGAACGCUGGCGGCGUGCUUAACAUAUGCAAGUCGAACGGUGAUGGAGAGCUUGCUCUCCGGAUCAGUGGCGAACGGGUGAGUAACACGUGAGUAACCUGCCCCGGACUCUGGGAUAAGCGUUGGAAACGACGUCUAAUACCGGAUAGGACUUCCUUCGGCAUCGGAGGGGGUGGAAAGAAUUUCGGUUCAGGAUGGACUCGCGGCCUAUCAGCUUGUUGGUGAGGUAAUGGCUCACCAAGGCGACGACGGGUAGCCGGCCUGAGAGGGUGACCGGCCACACUGGGACUGAGACACGGCCCAGACUCCUACGGGAGGCAGCAGUGGGGAAUAUUGCACAAUGGGCGCAAGCCUGAUGCAGCAACGCCGCGUGAGGGAUGACGGCCUUCGGGUUGUAAACCUCUUUUGGCAGGGAAGAAGCGAGAGUGACGGUACCUGCAGAAAAAGCACCGGCUAACUACGUGCCAGCCGCCGCCGUAACAC